rnacentral:misc_RNA from 1 species
UACGAAGGGGGCUAGCGUUGUUCGGAAUCACUGGGCGUAAAGCGCGCGUAGGCGGCCACGCAAGUCAGAUGUGAAAUCCCAGGGCUCAACCCUGGAACUGCAUUUGAAACUGCAUGGCUAGAGUCCGUGAGAGGGUGGUGGAAUAUCCAGUGUAGAGGUGAAAUUCGUAGAUAUUGGAUGGAACACCAGUGGCGAAGGCGGCCACCUGGUACGGUACUGACGCUGAGGCGCGAAAGCGUGGGGAGCAAACAGG